rnacentral:misc_RNA from 1 species
GAUGAAGAACGCAGCGAAAUGCGAUAAGUAAUGAGAAUUACAGAAUUCAGUGGAUCAUCGAAUCUUUGAACGCACAUUGCGCCCCUUGGUAUUCCGAGGGGCAUGCCUGUUCGAGCGUCAUUUCAACCCUCAAGCUCUGCUUGGUCUUGGGCCUGGCCGUGAUGGCCGGUCUUAAAAUCAGUGGCGGUGCCGUCGCAGGCUCCAAGCGUAGUACAUCUCUCGCUCUGGAAACUUGGCGGUGCCUGCCAGACAACCCCUAAUUGUCUCUUUCGGUUGACCUCGGAUCAGGUAGGGAUACCCGCUGAACUUAAGCAUAUCAAUAAGCGGAGGA